rnacentral:lncRNA from 1 species
AUCUAAUUUAUUUCUCACUUGGUUGUUGUCAUUAGUAAGAUCCUACAUAAAAAAGCAUUGAGAGUUUUAGGAGGCAUUUAGUAAUGUUAGCUCCUUUCUACUUGUACUGUAGUAAUGCAUUCUUUAGGAUCAAGUUCCCCCGACAGUGAGUUGUCUGAAAUGAAGAAAGCUAAAGUCAUUCCAACAUUCCAAGUCAUUAUGUAGGAAAGCCUCAGUGCCUGGAGAAGCUAGACCUGGCAGGUGGUAGAUGCUCACUAAAUGCACAUUUAUUAAUGAUUUUAUGGGAUUUUACUUCAUUGGGGAGAGGGGAACCCCUGUAGGUUGGCCUGUGAGACCUGUGAGUGAGUGGUCUCUUAGUUUGCCCAUUUGCAGAGUUGGCUUUGUCUGCUUAUUAUUCUCCCAAUUAUGAAGGAUUGGCGAGAUGAUCAAAUGUCAUUAGUAAAUUACAAAUAAGAGGUUGGUGCUUGUAGGGCUGUUAAGUCAGCCUGGCUGCUGAGAGCCAUUUAGUGUCUUGGAAUGGGCAAUUUGUUAAAUGACACAUAAGAAAGUUGAAAGAAUUAAUGUUCCUCUCCAAGGAGCAAUUUAUUCCUUUUUUUUUUUAAUUCAUUCAGCCUAAAUAUUUAUUCACAGCCUUGGGUUCCUUGUAAGAGAGAAGCUAUAAAAAACAAUAUGAUCAUCUUCUCUUUAUUUUCUUAUUUAGAGCCAUAAGACCCGAGGAAGAAGCAUAAUAGGCAGGAUGGAUAGUAGCACCCCUAGAGGAAUUCUGUGGGUAAUAGAAGCUGCCAAACUGAAUACAAGAAAUCACACAUGACACGUACAGCAUUGGGAAAAUAUUUGAAUCUGCAUAGAAGUUUGUCAGAUGCAUGAUGGCUAAACCUGCUAUACUUUUCCUAAUGAAGAUUGUUCCAGGCUUCAUGGAUGAAGAGCAAACAGGACAGAGUUCUGUUCAUCUUGGGCUUAUCCACAUGCCAAAUCCUGGCUUCCAGCCUUAUCCCUCUGUUCCAACUCCCUUAUUGUCUCCACUUUGGCAUCUUCUUAAUGAAUAGCUAUUUAAAAACCAACCAGAAAGGACACGCAAGUCUCGAAUCAAGGCAACUUGUUGAUGGAAGAAGACACACUAUCAGAAGAGGAGUGUCAAGGAGUAGAAUUGCUGAAGAUGGAACAUACAAAGCACCCAGAUGGAUUUGUGGUGGCUUGAGGACAAGGUUUCAGCAGGAGAUUAUACUAAUCACCGACUCGAUGGGCCUGUGAGCUUGAGUUCUACGUAGAUGGUGCCACAUAUUACCAAACACUGCUGGUGAUGAUGGAACGCCCUUUUCCUAUGAACAUAGAUAAUACAUUAACCAGUCGGCUAAGGCUAGGAAGCAUCACGAAUAGCAUGAAGACAUGCUCCUUUCAGG